AAAUAGGGAAACGAAAAAGAAAAGGCGGACUCGCCGACCACUCCGCCACCAACGCCGCGGCGGCGGCGGCGGCCGAUCAUUCUCGCCUACCGACGGUCACCCCUUCGCCGCCGCCGCCCUCCUCUCCGCUCCCCUCGCAUCGACGCUGCUCCUCUAGCGAGUUCCUCUCGUCAGCCCGAGAGCGCGCGCCGAAGGUUUCGCUUCGCCACCGUGGAUAUGGCGCCCAUCGCCCCGUCUUCUCCCGUCCCCGGCAAAGGCGACAAUGGCUGCUCGUCGAAGCCGACGCUGGCGAGGCCGUCGCGCCGCGGACCGCCGACCGACAGCGCUGGCACGCGCGUGGACUCGUCUGCACAGGCGCUGCCUCCUCCAUCCUCUCUGCUGUGUCUUCUUCCCGGUCUCUCAGUCAUGAGGAUGCGGCCUCUGCUCCCACCCGGUGCUGCGCCCUUUGCUACGAAUGACAUCCAGCCAGGUGCUGCCAAUGCUCGGUGCCCUACUGAUCCCUCUGCUGCCAAUGACUGCCAACCAGGUGCUGCCAAUCCUUGGCGCCCUGCUGUUCUCGUGGAGCUUUUCGCCCUUGUGUCCUUCAGAGGGAGGGCUCCACAGGUCUGUGAGGAGAGGAACCCAGCUCCACCUCUGCCAACCCCUUCCACGGCAUUGAACGGCCUGCGGCAGCAAUUUCUUCUUGCGAUCCCUCUUAUGGCUGCAAUGCACAAGAUUUGUCAUGUUUGGAGCCUUUUGGGAUGUUGGGCGGCAUUUUCUUAUGUCAAAACUGCCAGCGAUCGUGGUGCCAGCAUAUUUAGGAUUUUAAGUAAUAGAAUUGCAGUGGGAGGCGUCACCGCGAGGCUAUGCAGCUAUAUUGUUUGCUGGUUUGGAUUUGAGGGGUGUCCAUUCUCUGUUUUGCUGACUUCGUUGAUCUUGUUAGCAUUUUCUUUAGGCAUACAUGUUCAGCUCUAACAAGUGCGACAGAUAUUCUUAACAAAGCCAAUGAGUUUCUACCGAUCAAUGCUACUCAGCCUCAUAUCCCACAGGAGAGUGCCCCUUCUACUAAUGAAAGCAACGAGGCCACAUCUCAAGAGACAAUGGGCAUUAUUGUAGACAAUACGGAAAGCCAUGAUGGUCAGCCUGCUCUCGAGCAGAAAACAGUCAGAUCCAUUAGUGAAGGCAAUGAGGUCAUAUCGCGAUGGAAAGAAGAGAAUUCUCAAUUUUCCGUGGAUGUGCCUCCAGACAUGUCUCCACAAACAGCCAAAACUCUCAAGCAGAACUUCAAAAAGGAGGGUGCUAGUCAUCUGAUUCAAGGAACUACCAUCAACUCAAUACUGGAGAAAGCUUUAGUUUCUGCAAAAUCUGAGUUCGAUAUAGUUGUCAAAGAAGUUGAAGAUCUUCAGCACUUUUACAUCCUUCAUCCUCAUCAGAUGGCAACACGGAUCAGUAGAUCGCCGCUGGGACUCUUUCAGUGUACUGACCACACAGAAAUGGUAAAGACCAAUGAUGAGAUACUUGGAAGACGAAGAAGAUUGGUGCAGAAAGAGGAAGUAGAACUGUGAACUAUUCAGUGCUGACAAUAUAUCCUCGUCAAACUAACAAACUAACUGUCUAGUGGAAGAAGAAGAUUGCUGCAGAAAUGAGAAUAUCAUGCUCCUGGCAAACUGUGUAUACAUCUUGCUCAGUAACAUCACAUACCAUGCUGCUGCUGACAGUAUAUUGCUAUGAAUUGUGAGAUACUCCUCACUGAAAACUAGUUAGAGCAUCAACGUAUCUUGCAGCUGACAUUUUGUCCGCGUCAUAGCAAGCUAA